rnacentral:lncRNA from 1 species
AUGGACAGGGAGCAGUCCCUGGAGACAGGGCCACACUUACCCUAAUGACAGUCUCCGGGGUCUUCAUCCAGCCUGAGCACCCUGCAUGGAGCCCGGCCUGAAGUGCUCCAGCUCAGAGGAGGAGGAGGGAGAGGGAGGCACCUUCUGUCCAACAGGAAGAAGGAACCCAAGACUGAAGACCCACAGCUAAAGGUGAUGAAACUAAGACUAAGAGAAGUUCACCAACUUGUCCAAGGCCACAACUCACAGUGGAAUCUGAACUCGGCUCCAUAUGACUCGAGUCCCACGAUCUUUUCAUGUUCCCUGCUACCUCUCCCUCUCAGCCUGCUACAGUGAUGGGACAUUUAUGAACUUGCAAAAUGCUUUCUCACAAAUGAUCUUAUUUGAUUUUCACAAACAUGUGUGAGGCAGGUAUAAGUUCUGUUCUAUGGAUGAACAAUUGGUCUUCAGGAUGGCUCAGGGGACUGAGCUGGAAAAAAAAAGGCCUCAGAAGGGAAAUGGAGGCCCAGAAAGCUUUGGGACUCUCCCCUCCAACCCCCAUUUGGACCAUGAACUGAUGCCAAUGGCACCAAGGAAGCAUCAACUGAUACUGGGCAGAAGGGCAGGGCAGUGGCCCCUGGGAGUCUUCAUGGCUCCUCUGGCAGAAAGUACCUGGAGGCA